UACAGAGGGUGCAAGCGUUGUUCGGAAUUACUGGGCGUAAAGCGCACGUAGGCGGCGUCUUAAGUCAGGGGUGAAAUCCUGGAGCUCAACUCCAGAACUGCCUUUGAUACUGAGAUGCUUGAGUCCGGGAGAGGUGAGUGGAACUGCGAGUGUAGAGGUGAAAUUCGUAGAUAUUCGCAAGAACACCAGUGGCGAAGGCGGCUCACUGGCCCGGUACUGACGCUGAGGUGCGAAAGCCAGGGGAGCAAACGGGG
rnacentral:rRNA from 1 species